rnacentral:rRNA from 1 species
GAGGGGCAGCAUGUCGGUAGCUUGCUACCGGCGAUGGCGACCGGCGAAUGGGUGAGUCACGCGUGUCCAACCUGCCCCGUGCCCGGGCACAGCCCUUGGAAAUGAGGAUUAAGGCCCGAUAUGUGCCGCCUCCGCAUGGCGGCGGCAUGAACCGAGGCACGGGAUGGGGACGCGUCGGAUUAGCUUGACGGCGGGGCGACGGCCCACCGUGGCGACGAUCCGCAGGGGUUCUGAGAGGAAGGUCCCCCACACUGGCACUGAGACACGGGCCAGACUCCUACGGGAGGCAGCAGUGAGGAAUAUUGGUCAAUGGCCGAGAGGCUGAACCAGCCAAGUAGCGUGCAGGACGACGGCCCUACGGGUUGUAAACUGCUUUUGCGGGAGGAUAAAGUGCGCCACGCGUGGCGCUUUGCAGGUAUCCCGUGAAUAAGGACCGGCUAAUUCCGUGCC